GUAGUUGGGCACUUUAAAGAGACUGCCGGUGUUAAACCGGAGGAAGUGGGGAUGACGUCAAGUCCUCAUGGCCUUUAUGCCCAGGGCUACACACGUGCUACAAUGGGCGGUACAAAGAGAAGCAACCUCGCGAGGGUGAGCAAAUCUCAAAAAGCCGUUCUCAGUUCGGAUUGAAGUCUGCAACUCGACUUCAUGAAGUCGGAAUCGCUAGUAAUCGCGGAUCAGCAUGCCGCGGUGAAUACGUUCCCGGGCCUU
rnacentral:rRNA from 1 species